AUAAAGUCAAGCAAGUAAGGGCGUACGGCGGAUGCCUUGGCCAUAUCAGCCGAUGAAGGACGCGAUAAGCUGCGAAAAGCUGCGGUGAGGUGCAAGUAACCAGAGACCCGCAGGUGUCCGAAUGGGGAAACCCGGCAGCAGGAGUGCUGUCAUCCGAAAGGAAGGGAACCCGGUGAACUGAAACAUCUAAGUAGCCGGAGGAAAAGGAAUCAACAGAG
rnacentral:rRNA from 1 species